CAUCAAUAUACCAACAAAUAUUAGAUCUAUAAUGACGUAGCGCACAAGAAGAAAACUGAAAUUGAAAGUUUGAUAUUGUUUGCUCUUUUGAAUUUCUCGCUAUGUCAUUCAUUUGAUGUUACAACGCAUUUGAAUAAUACUAAAAGUUGCCGUAUUAUUCAUCGCAUAUUGUAUCACAACUGUCAAUGAUGCAACCACAUGCAUAGAUUCAUCAGAUUCGAAGACCGCAUUUUCCAUUUUUAAUGGAGAUAAAGAUUACAGGAAAUCAUUUUUCACGGAAGGUUGGAAACAAGACUCACUGAAACGUUAUUUAGGUCAACUGGUAUAUCUUGGAGUCGACGAAAUUCGAAGCAGCUGUCAUUCAACACUUUUUAAAAGAUCAAAUCUUCCAUAAUUAAUGGCACGCACAUCACGCACUUGGGGUUUUAGAGCAAACGCCGUACAAUGCUGAAACAGUUCCCCAGAAAUGUUCACCAAUUCAAAAGAAAAAUUCAGAUAUCAAAAAGAGCAGGUUGUGAAUAUAGAUUUUAUGAAUAUGAAGAAACUGAUACCUAGAUUUCAACAGUUUAUGUAUGUGAACAGCCAAGAGAAGUCGUAAAUGAUGAACUUAUAACCACUUUCCCGCCUCAUGCUCAUGGACCAGUUAAAAUGUAAGGCCCAAAGCCAGGCCUCCAGCUGAUGGACCAGAGGAAAUAUAUUAUGUAUGAGUGUAUGAAAUGUGUGUAUUUUAAUUUUUUUUUAAGUUGGAAGAAAUUUUGUAUAUUUAGUCAAAUUGGUAUUAAAAGCUGUGUAUUUUA